UACGUAGGUGGCAAGCGUUGUCCGGAUUUACUGGGCGUAAAGAGCGCGCAGGCGGUCGAUCAAGUCGCGUGUGAAAGCCCCCGGCUCAACUGGGGAGGGUCACGCGAUACUGAUCGACUCGAAGGCAGGAGAGGGUAGUGGAAUUCCCGGUGUAGUGGUGAAAUGCGUAGAUAUCCGGAGGAACACCAGUGGCGAAGGCGGCCCGCUGGGCAGGAAGGGGUGGGUAACCACCCGGCUGACACUGAGGCGCGACAGCGUGGGGAGCAAACAGG
rnacentral:rRNA from 1 species